rnacentral:rRNA from 1 species
AUUGAACGCUGGCGGCAUGCCUUACACAUGCAAGUCGAACGGUAACGGGCCUUCGGGUGCCGACGAGUGGCGAACGGGUGAGUAAUGCAUCGGAACGUACCUUUCAGUGGGGGAUAACGUAGCGAAAGUUACGCUAAUACCGCAUAUUCUGUGAGCAGGAAAGCAGGGGAUCGCAAGACCUUGCGCUGAUUGAGCGGCCGAUGUCAGAUUAGCUAGUUGGUGAGGUAAAGGCUCACCAAGGCGACGAUCUGUAGCGGGUCUGAGAGGAUGAUCCGCCACACUGGAACUGAGACACGGUCCAGACUCCUACGGGAGGCAGCAGUGGGGAAUUUUGGACAAUGGGGGCAACCCUGAUCCAGCCAUGCCGCGUGAGUGAAGAAGGCCUUCGGGUUGUAAAGCUCUUUCGGUCGGGAAGAAAUCGCAUGGGUUAAUACCCUGUGCGGAUGACGGAACUGGCAUAAGAAGCACCGGCUAACUACGUGCCAGCCGCCGCGGUAAGAC